GGUUGAUCCUGCCAGUAGUCAUAUGCUUGUCUCAAAGAUUAAGCCUCG
rnacentral:rRNA from 1 species